UACAGAGACUGCAAGCGUUAUUCGGAUUCACUGGGCGUAAAGGGUGCGCAGGCGGCCGUGUGUGUGAGGCGUGAAAGCCCGGGGCUUAACCCCGGAAUUGCACCUCAAACUACACGGCUAGAGCAUUGGAGAGGGUAGCAGAAUUCACGGUGUAGCAGUGAAAUGCGUAGAUAUCGUGAGGAAUACCAGAGGCGAAGGCGGCUACCUGGACAGUUACUGACGCUCAGGCACGAAAGCGUGGGGAGCAAAAGGG
rnacentral:rRNA from 1 species